rnacentral:rRNA from 1 species
UACGUAGGGUGCGAGCGUUGUCCGGAAUUAUUGGGCGUAAAGAGCUCGUAGGCGGUGUGUCGCGUCGGUCGUGAAAACUUGGGGCUUAACCCUGAGCUUGCGGUCGAUACGGGCAUCACUGGAGUUCGGCAGGGGAGACUGGAAUUCCUGGUGUAGCGGUGAAAUGCGCAGAUAUCAGGAGGAACACCGGUGGCGAAGGCGGGUCUCUGGGCAGUAACUGACGCUGAGGAGCGAAAGCGUGGGGAGCAAACAGG